rnacentral:rRNA from 1 species
AAACCAGCACCUCAAGUGGUCAGGAGGAUUAUUGGGCCUAAAGCAUCCGUAGCCUGUUCUGUAAGUUUUCGGUUAAAUCCAUUAGCUCAACUAAUGGCCUGCCGGAAAUACUGCAGAACUAGGAAGUGGGAGAGGUAGACGGUACUCGGUAGGAAGGGGUAAAAUCCUUUGAUCUAUUGAUGACCACCUGUGGCGAAGGCGGUCUACCAGAACACGUUCGACGGUGAGGGAUGAAAGCUGGGGGAGCAAACCGGAUUAGAAACCCGGGUAGUCC